UUCAAUUGCCCAGUUAAGUUUAAUAGUAAAAGACUGGUUAAUGAUAACAAUGCAUUGUAAAAACUUCAGAAGGAAAGGAGAAUGUUUUGGUGACCACUUUCCUUU